UACGAAGGGGGCUAGCGUUGCUCGGAAUCACUGGGCGUAAAGCGCACGUAGGCGGCUUCUUAAGUCAGGGGUGAAAUCCUGGAGCUCAACUCCAGAACUGCCUUUGAUACUGAGAAGCUUGAGUCCGGGAGAGGUGAGUGGAACUGCGAGUGUAGAGGUGAAAUUCGUAGAUAUUCGCAAGAACACCAGUGGCGAAGGCGGCUCACUGGCCCGAUACUGACGCUGAGGUGCGAAAGCGUGGGGAGCAAACAGGG
rnacentral:rRNA from 1 species